UAGCUGUGAUGAAAACCAUGCGCGUCAUCUGACUGGCUUUUCUACCUGCCGUCCCAUCCUCGCUUUUCUGUGCCUUUCGGUUCUCGAGGGCACAGGUACAUAGCGGAAGGGUCUGGUUUUGGAAAGCUCAAGAUG